UCCAAUUUCAUGCUUGGAUCGAAAACAUGAUCGGGAUGGUUGUACCCGAACAGCAUUUUACAGGUGCAAAAGAAAAAUCGAUAGUAUUCUUGUGCACAAGAUAUUACUAGGGGAAAUGUUUUACAGGUAAAAAAGAAUGCGAUAUUGCCAAACAGGGCCUUGGGCUGGUAUCGCCUUGCUCUAAAAAUGUUCAGCUAGGGGCAUCCACAACGGGUCGUUAAGGUGUGUCAAUAGCAGUCCAUGUCGGAGAGAGGAGAGGAGAGAGAGAAAACGUCGCUAGACGUAGCGACUCUCGCUAGCACGCAAAUCCACGCCGCGGGUCCCACGAACGCAGAUUCCACCCGUGCCGAGCGGGAGGGAGGCGGAGCCCGGCCUCGCAUGAUCCGAUGCAGGCUGCCUCCGGCGAUGGCGGGUGGAGCACGGCCGCAGCGGUGCCGCCACGGGCUGGGGGGACGGAGCUUGGCCGCCGCCGCCGAGCAGCCGGGUGGAGACGAGCUGCGCCGGUCGCCGUCUUUUUAGCACUGGCCCGACCGGUGCCGAGACCACCACGACGGUGGAGGUCGGCUGGGUGACGACGAUGGGGAGGGGAAGCCAGCGCAUGGAUGGCGAGGAGGUGGAGACGGCAACGGCGGAUGCGGCCAAGGUAGAGCGGGCAUGGCCGUCGGUCAUGCGCGGAGACGAGCAUGGCCGCCGGUGCGGGCGGGG
rnacentral:lncRNA from 1 species